ACGGGAGGCAGCAGUGGGGAAUAUUGCACAAUGGGCGCAAGCCUGAUGCAGCGACGCCGCGUGAGUGAAGAAGUAUUUCGGUAUGUAAAGCUCUAUCAGCAGGAAAGAAAAUGACGGUACCUGACUAAGAAGCCCCGGCUAACUACGUGCCAGCAGCCGCGGUAAUACGUAGGGGGCAAGCGUUAUCCGGAUUUACUGGGUGUAAAGGGAGCGUAGACGGUUUUGCAAGUCUGAAGUGAAAUGCCGGGGCUCAACCCCGGAACUGCUUUGGAAACUGUAGAACUAGAGUGCAGGAGAGGUAAGUGGAAUUCCUAGUGUAGCGGUGAAAUGCGUAGAUAUUAGGAGGAACACCAGUGGCGAAGGCGACUUUCUGGACGAUAACUGACGUUGAGGCACGAAAGUGUGGGGAGCAAACAGGAUUAGAUACCCUGGUA
rnacentral:rRNA from 1 species